rnacentral:lncRNA from 1 species
AUGCACACUCUGUGCUGGAUAAAGACCUCUGUGAAGGGCAGCAGCAGAUGUGUAUGCGAAGUCCUGGGGGAAAUGCAGGGAGAAGAGGACCAAGCAAACUGCUGGAAGAACAGAGAGCGCAUUUGUUCUCUUGAGAUUCAGCAGCCGGGCAAGGAAUGUUGGCUCCAACUAGUCCAUGGACAGAAAAGGCCAUUCUUGAACCUUCCGGGAAAUCAUGCAGGAUGGAUAGCCUGAAUAGCACUCAGGUCAACUAAAAGAGAGUUGCUGCUGUAUAAUUUCAGCCCAUGUGCAGGUGUAAGCAUUAACAUUAAAGAUGGAAGGUCUGUAUUGGCAUUUUUGGUCACUAUAUUUUAAAGGAAAUUUAGUCUUCUUGUCCAACAUCACAGAAGGAGAGGCAGAGGAGAGAGUAGAAUGAAGGUUCUAGGUUCUAGGUUCUGUUUCUUUCAUUAACAAUUUUCAAAUGGUUAUUGAGCUAAACUCAGUUAAUAUGAAGCUCAUUUAAUAUGAUGAUCAUUUGAUAUGAACCUGGGGUCCUACUAUUAGGAUCUAUUAUUAGGAUUCUAGUUAAUAGGAUUUGUGUUCAUGUAUAGAGAAAAUUCUCUUGAAGUUAUAAAUGUAGUCCUACUACAUUAUGUAUGUUAAUGUUAUAUAGCAUUAACACCCAAUAGCUGAAUUAGUAUACUGUACAACAUUAUAUAUCCUUUCCAAAUGUCCUGUAGAAACUAAAUAUUCUAUUUUUUUUUAUAAUGUCAAGCUCCUCCUACUUUUUACUCCUGCCAAAGGAAGGAAAAAAAGGAGAGACAAAACAGAUGGAUACAUUUUAGUUCAUUCAUGGAAUUCAGAUUAAAGUAGCUGCUAAUUCCUAAUAAAUCAAGCAUUCUGUCCUUUUAUUUUCA